ACGCUCGACACCUACGGAAGGCAGCAGUGGGGAAUAUUGCACAAUGGGGGAAACCCGUGAUGCAGCGACGCCGCGUGAGUGAAGAAGUAUUUCGGUAUGUAAAGCUCUAUCAGCAGGGAAGAAGAUGACGGUACCUGAGUAAGAAGCCCCGGCUAACUACGUGCCAGCAGCCGCGGUAAUCUGAGCGGGCUGGCAAGGC
rnacentral:rRNA from 1 species